ACCGGGCUCACAGAGGCGGGGACACUCACCCGGAAAUAGCGGUUGGAGGAGGUUAUUGGCCGUUGAUGAGGCAGUGGAGGGGUGUAUAGAGGAGUAACAUAACGGAAGCUGGGAAGGGGCGCUACUGAGGCAGGUUAAUUGGGCGGAGGAGCCGAAGCCAGAAGUGCCAAGUGCCGGUUCCCUGUCGCUGCUCCAGGUCCUGCACGGUGGGAAACCGCGUGGUGCAGACCUGGGUGCGGAGGACACGGCGGGGUGUCGCGGGGACCCGAAACCUCCCCGGAGCCGCAGUCUCCGCGGGGCGGCCUGGGAAAGUCACCAGUCAGCAGCGCAGUAGCGGGAACCGCAGCCCGGCGGCCCUGGAACCUCCCAGAAAUCCAGGUGCUCUCUGAAGAAUCUCACUGAUCACCCAGACCUGCUCACAGCAGAACAAAGAGGCCUGGAAGAUGGAGAAAGAGGAGACAGUAGCUAAGGCUCUAGUAUGUUUACAUCUAUUGCUUAUGGAACAUUAUUGAAAGACCCCCUGAAGGCAGUCUUCCCUCAGGAGAGACCCUCGCCCAAGGAACACACCGACAC